rnacentral:rRNA from 1 species
CCUACGGGUGGCAGCAGUGAGGAAUAUUGGUCAAUGGACGAGAGUCUGAACCAGCCAAGUAGCGUGAAGGAUGACUGCCCUAUGGGUUGUAAACUCCUUUUAUAUGGGAAUAAAAUGUUCCACGUGUGGGAUUUUGUAUGUACCAUAUGAAUAAGGAUCGGCUAACUCCGUGCCAGCAGCCGCGGUAAUACGGAGGAUCCGAGCGUUAUCCGGAUUUAUUGGGUUUAAAGGGAGCGUAGGUGGAUUGUUAAGUCAGUUGUGAAAGUUUGCGGCUCAACCGUAAAAUUGCAGUUGAAACUGGCAGUCUUGAGUACAGUAGAGGUGGGCGGAAUUCGUGGUGUAGCGGUGAAAUGCUUAGAUAUCACGAAGAACUCCGAUUGCGAAGGCAGUUCACUGGACUGCAACUGACACUGAGGCUCGAAAGUGUGGGUAUCAAACAGGAUUAGAUACCCGAGUAGUC